AUGCGAUGAGCCGAGUAGUGACUUUGUCACUUUCGACGCUAGGGAGGUCUUCAUUUAAUUGAAACGCAGGAGCGGACCUUGAAUAGUUGUGUGAACCUUCUAUUCUCAUCGGAAACGAUGCCCUGGCCCACCUUUAUGGUGGGCCUUUUU
rnacentral:sRNA from 16 species